UUUUCACAUGUGCUUGCCCAAGUGCAUGUUGGUGAGUGUGUUUGUUCGUGUCUGUGCAUAUUUAUGUACGGGUGUGUGUGUUUUUGUAUGCCUGUAUGCGUGAAUGUACAUAUGUUUGUGUGUGGGGGAGGCUAGAUAUCGGUCAGUGUGUCCAUGUGUAUGACUGUGAUUGUUUUAGUGUGUGAAUUUGUUUCAGUGUUUGCGUUUGUGAACGUGUAUUUUCAUGGGUGUGCAUUUGUGUAGAGUUGUCAGUCAGUGUGUGUGUGUGUGUGUGUUUCUAUGGAUACGUGUAUGUGGGUGAGUCUUUUCCUUUGUCACUUAGAUGUGUGUGUGUGUGUUUUCACAUGUGCUUCUACCAGUGCAUGUUAGUGAGUCUGUUUGCGUCUGUACAUAUUUAUGUAUGCGUGUGUGUUUUUGUAUGCCUGUAUGCGGGAAUGUACGUGUCUUUGCGUGUGCGUGUAUGAAUUAGUGUUUGUGUGGGGAGAUAUAGGUGACUGUGUCCAUGUGUAUGACUGUGACAGUUUUAGUGUGUGAAUUUGUUACAGUGUUCGUGUUUGUGAAUGUGUCUUUUCAUGAGUAUGCAUUUGUGUAAGAUUGUUAGUGAGUAUGUGCCUGCGUGUUUGUGUGCAUAUGCAUAUGUGGGUGUGUCUUUUCCUUUUUAAAUGUAGAUAUGUGUGUGUUUUCACAUCCGCUUGUGCAAGUGGCCGUUAGUGAGUCUGUGUGUUUGUGUCUGUGCAUAUUUAUGUAUGCGUGUGUGUGCAUAUAUACACCUGAGUGCGGGUGCGGCGUGGAGGAGAAGUGGGGUGGUACGUUCCAGGCAUGGCUCACCUGUGGGCGUGGCCGGUAGAAGACGCCUCCGUGUUGUCCUUCUGCCAUCGCUGUAGCCAUUACCAUAGUGGCUGUAGUGGGCGUGGCCAUCAUGGUGCAGAUGAUCAUCAGGGUAAUAUCUGGAAACACACCCAUGCAGAUGUAAAGCUCCUCGUUCUCCUGAUCUGGGUUGCCUGGUGACAGCAAAAAGGAAGCGUGUCAAAAGACGGCCAUGUCGACUAAAACAUUUGCUUCCUGAGGACACACCUUCGGUCUUGAUCUUAAGUGCGGUGCGGACUAGCGCAAAGAGGGUGGCGUUGAAGGUCACCAUGCCGUCUGCGUUUAGAGGCAUGUUCAUAGCCACCAGACGCUAACAACAGUGACAUCCACACCAAGAUGUUUGCUUUAAUUACCUUACACGCUACUCUGUGAGGACAGAGUUUUCCAAAGCCAAGGGGAGGUUGUAUCCUUCGAAGUAGGGCCACAACAUCCAAGUGUUUAAUGCGACCCCUGAGCGACAAUGACACAGAAAUAAAUUACUCUGACAUGCUACGACAAGCCAAUUACAAGAAAAUUACAAUCACCAUUAUUUUCAUCAUUGAAAUCACGGUUACUAAGCAAUUAUUCAUUUAUUUCAAAACUUAGUAAUUAUCCAUCCAUCCAUCCAUCAAUUUUCUUAGCCGCUUAUCCUCACAGGGGUCGCGGGGAAUGCUGGAGCCUAUCCCAGCUGCCAACGGGCAAGAGGUGGGGUACACCCUGAACUGGUUACCAGCCAAUCACAGGGCACAUAGAAACAACCAUUUGCACACACAUUAAUGCCUACGGGCAAUUUCGAGUCUUCAGUAAAUCUAGCACGCACGCUUUUGAGAUGUGGGAGGAAACCAGACUAUCUGAGGGAAAAGAAAAACAUGCAAGCACGGGGAGAACACGCAAACUCCACACAGGCUGGGCUGGGAACGGCGAGGCAGAUGUGCUAACCAGUUGUUCACCGUGCUGCCUAUCAAAUGUAAAAAUCCAAAGACCUAUCCAGGCAAGAGCAGAGCAACGAGAGGCGUCAUGUGAGCGUAGCGCUUGACAGCAAACAUGGAAGAUCACCUCCAACUUCACAAAACGAUGCAAAAAAAACUCAACUUAAAAGCCAUGUGCUCAGCGCACUCUCACCUGCAUGCCGAUGACCGCGUAGAUGAAAAAGAUCAUGGCGAUGAGCAGGGCGACAUACGGCAACGCCUAGGAGGACACGUCAGACCAGUUACGGACCUGCAUACGUACUGUAUAUUGCUGUAAUAACGGUAAUAAUAUGCCAUGUAACUAGUGGAAUCUUGAGUGAAGAAAGUCAAGCACAUCUACUGUUGAA